AGCAGUCGCCGCGGGAAUACAGAGGGUGCGAGCGUUAAUCGGAUUUACUGGGCGUAAAGCGUGCGUAGGCGGCUUCUUAAGUCGGAUGUGAAAUCCCUGAGCUUAACUUAGGAAUUGCAUUCGAUACUGGGAAGCUAGAGUAUGGGAGAGGAUGGUAGAAUUCCAGGUGUAGCGGUGAAAUGCGUAGAGAUCUGGAGGAAUACCGAUGGCGAAGGCAGCCAUCUGGCCUAAUACUGACGCUGAGGUACGAAAGCAUGGGGAGCAAACAGGAUUAGAUACCCGGGUAGUCCCUGUCUCUUAUAA
rnacentral:rRNA from 1 species